rnacentral:rRNA from 1 species
AUGUAGGGGAGACUGGAAUUCCUGGUGUAGCGGUGAAAUGCGCAGAUAUCAGGAGGAACACCGAUGGCGAAGGCAGGUCUCUUGGCAUUAACUGACGCUGAGGAGCGAAAGCAUGGGGAGCGAACAGGAUUAGAUACCCUGGUAGUCCAUGCCGUAAACGUUGGGCACUAGGUGUGGGGGACAUUCCACGUUUUCCGCGCCGUAGCUAACGCAUUAAGUGCCCCGCCUGGGGAGUACGGCCGCAAGGCUAAAACUCAAAGGAAUUGACGGGGGCCCGCACAAGCGGCGGAGCAUGCGGAUUAAUUCGAUGCAACGCGAAGAACCUUACCAAGGCUUGACAUGGACCGGACCGCCGCAGAAAUGUGGUUUCCCCUUUGGGGCCGGUUCACAGGUGGUGCAUGGUUGUCGUCAGCUCGUGUCGUGAGAUGUUGGGUUAAGUCCCGCAACGAGCGCAACCCUCGUUCCAUGUUGCCAGCGCGUAAUGGCGGGGACUCAUGGGAGACUGCCGGGGUCAACUCGGAGGAAGGUGGGGACGACGUCAAAUCAUCAUGCCCCUUAUGUCUUGGGCUUCACGCAUGCUACAAUGGCCGGUACAAAGGGUUGCGAUACUGUGAGGUGGAGCUAAUCCCAAAAAGCCGGUCUCAGUUCGGAUUGGGGUCUGCAACUCGACCCCAUGAAGUCGGAGUCGCUAGUAAUCGCAGAUCAGCAACGCUGCGGUGAAUACGUUCCCGGGCCUUGUACACACCGCCCGUCAAGUCACGAAAGUUGGUAACACCCGAAGCCGGUGGCCUAACCCCUUG